rnacentral:snRNA from 1 species
AAGUGACAAAAGUCACGGACCCCACAACCUAAAAGCAUUUUCGCAUCGAGAGCCCGCCGUGCUUGUCACGGUGCGAGGCUCCAUGACAUCGGAAACCGUCAGUGUAUGUGGAGAACGACUUCAGAGGAUCUUGGGUGCCGCGGGCUUUUCUUCACCAUGGAGUCCGGGGCAAUGAUCAACUGUACAG